GCCGGGCAUGGUGGCGUGUGCCUGUAGUCCCAGCUACUCAGGAGGCUGAGGCAGGAGAAUCGCUUGAACCUGGGAGGCAGAGGUUGCAGUGAGCUGAGAUCAUGCCACUGCACUCCCGCCUGGGCAACAGAGCGAGACUCCGUCUCAA
rnacentral:SRP_RNA from 2 species